CUGAAAACUCUAUUCAGUGAUAUUCAAAUAACUGCACCCUGCAGGAGCUCAGGUUAUUGCCAUUCUCCAAGACGUCAGAGGUGGGAGCUGUGGGACACGAGAUUUAAGCAGCCUCCAAAAACUAUCGAUAGCCUACACUUGGAAAACUCGAGACAUAGAGGCACAUGGGCACAAAUAAAAGAGACCAGAGUAGAUCUGAAAUUAGGACCGGCUGGGAUUGUAUUGUGCAUCUUUAAGAAGAGACUGAAGCAAGGACAGCCAAUCCAGGCAGAGAUGACUGCCGCAUAUUAACAAGCUCAAUAGGAGCAGUAUUUGAGGACCGCACAGCUUCUUCUCCUCUGUGUGCACUCCCUGAAGGAAGAGCAUCUCACAUCAAGAAUUUUCCACAGGUAUGGCUUUUCCAUCUGCCAUUCAUUCACUCAUAUUUUGUCCGCUAUUGUCUGUCAUCCCAUCCUAAAAACUCCGUACUAUGCUCCUCUUUGAAAC
rnacentral:lncRNA from 1 species